rnacentral:rRNA from 1 species
AGAGUUUGAUUAUGGCUCAGGAUGAACGCUGGCGGCGUGCCUAAUACAUGCAAGUCGUACGAACAAGAUCCAGCUUGCUGGAUUGAGUUAGUGGCGAACGGGUGAGUAAUACGUAAGCAACCUGCCUACACGGACUGGGAUAACACCUGGAAACGGGCGCUAAUACCGGAUAGGUAACGGGAGGGCAUCCUUCUGUUAUUAAAGGUUAGAAACACAAGUAGAUGGGCUUACGGUGCAUUAGCUGGUUGGUGAGGUAACGGCCCACCAAGGCGAUGAUGCAUAGCCGGCCUGAGAGGGUGAACGGCCACAUUGGGACUGAGACACGGCCCAGACUCCUACGGGAGGCAGCAGUAGGGAAUUUUCGGCAAUGGGCGCAAGCCUGACCGAGCAACGCCGCGUGAGUGAUGAAGGUUUUCGGAUUGUAAAGCUCUGUUGUAAGGGAAGAACAGCACGGAUAGACUCCGUGUCCGACGGUACCUUACCAGAAAGCCACGGCUAACUACGUGCCAGCCGCAGC